CAUGUCCUUUAGAAUUUAAUUUAAGGUCUAGCCUGCCCACUGAAAUUAAUUUUAAAUGGCCGCAGUAAUUUGACUGUGCAAAGGUAGCAUAAUCAUUAGUUUUUUAAUUGAAAGCUUGUAUGAAAGGCUGGACGAGGUAAAAUCUGUCUCUAAUUAAUUUAAUUUAGAAUUUAACUUUUAAGUUAAAAGGCUUAAAUAUCAUUAAAAGACGAGAAGACCCUAUAGAUCUUUAUAAUUUAUUUAUUAGAUUUAAUUAAGAAUUUUUAAAAUUUUAUUAAUUUAAUUAUUUUAUUGGGGUAAUGUAAAGAUUAAAUUAAUUCUUUUUUUUUAUUAACAUUAAUUUAUGAUUUUAUGAUCCAAUUUUAUUGGCUAUAAGAUUAAGUUACCUUAGGGAUAACAGCGUUAUUUUUUUAGAGAGUUCUUAUCGAUAAAAAAGUUUACGACCUCGAUGUUGGAUUAAAGAUUAUUUUAGGCGCAGAAGUUUAAAAAUUUUGGUCUGUUCGACCAUUAAAUCUUUACAUGAUCUGAGUUCAGACCGGUGUAAGCCAGGUCGGUUUCUAUCUUUAGUAAAUUAAAAUAUUUUAGUACGAAAGGACCAAUUAUUUAAUAUAAAAUAUUUAAAUUUUGAUUAUUAUU
rnacentral:rRNA from 1 species